rnacentral:rRNA from 1 species
UCAGGAUGAACGCUAGCGGCGCGCUUAACGCAUGCAAGUCGAGCGAUGAGGCUCCUUCGGGGGGUACAUCAGCGGCAGACGGGUGAGUAACACGUAGGUAACCUGCCCUCAAGACGGGGAUAACGCCUGGAAACGGGCGCUAAUACCGGAUGACCUUAGUUGGGGAAGCACCGGCUAAGGAAAGGCUUUGGCGCUUGAGGAGGGGCCUGCGGCCCAUCAGUUAGUUGGUAGGGUAACGGCCUACCAAGGCGAAGACGGGUAGGGGGUGUGAGAGCACGGNCCCCCACACUGGGACUGAGACACGGCCCAGACUCCUACGGGAGGCAGCAGCGGGGAAUAUUGCGCAAUGGACGGAAGUCAGACGCAGCGACGCCGCGUGGGUGAAGAAGGCCUUCGGGUUGUAAAGCCCUUUUCUGUGGGAAGAGGAAGGACGGUACCAUAGGAAUAAGCGUCGGCUAACCACGUGCCAGCAGCCGCGGUAAGACGUAGGACGCGAGCGUUAUCCGGAUUUACUGGGCGUAAAGCGUGUGUAGGCGGCGUGACAAGUUGGGCGUGGAAGCCCCGUGCUCAACGCGGGGAGGCCGCACAAUACUGUCAGGCUAGAGGGCAUCAGAGGGGUGUGGAAUUCCCGGAGUAGCGGUAAAAUGCGCAGAUAUCGGGAGGAACACCGGUGGCGAAAGCGGCACCCUGGGGUGCACCUGACGCUGAGAGACGACAGCUAGGGGAGCGAACAGGAUUAGAGACCCUGGGUAGUCCUAGCCGUAAACGAUGGCUGCUAGGUGUGGGAGUGAAGACCUCUGUGCCGCAAGCGAACGCGAUAAGCAUACCGACUGGGGAGUACGGGCGCAAGGUUAAAACUCAAACGAAUU